GCGGAUGUGAUGUAAUUGGUAGCCAUGCCAGACUUAGGAUCUGGUGCUUCACCGCGUGGGGGUUCGAGUCCCUUCAUCCGCACAA
rnacentral:tRNA from 4 species